GACGAACGCUGGCGGCGUGCUUAACACAUGCAAGUCAAGGGGAAAUACCGGCUUCGGUUGGUAGAGUAUACUGGCGGACGGGUGAGUAACGCGUAGGCAACCUGCCCUUAUGAGAGGGAUAAUCCGACGAAAGGCGGCCUAAUACCUCAUAACACAUUGAAUUCACAUGGGUUUAAUGUCAAAGGUUUGUUUGCAAGAGCAGACGCAUAAGGAUGGGCCUGCGUUCCAUUAGUUAGUUGGUGGGGUAACGGCUCACCAAGGCAGCGAUGGAUAGCUGAUUUGAGAGAGUGAUCAGCCACACUGGGACUGAGAUACGGCCCAGACUCCUACGGGAGGCAG
rnacentral:rRNA from 1 species